GUUCAAAGUCUGUGUCUUUUUCUUCCUCCAACAGGUUUUUAGGAGAUUUUCGAUAAUGGGUUCAGAGCAAAACGACAGCUUCUCCCCCUCAGAGCCGAAGCUCUGCGUCAACGGCUGCGGCUUCUUCGGAUCACCAUCGAACAUGAACCUCUGCUCCAAGUGCUACCGCGACAUCAGAGCCACCGAGGAGCAAGCCGCCUCCGCUAAAGCCGCCGUCGACAAAUCUCUAAACCCUAACAAACACCACACCAAACCACCGCAACAGAGCCUGGAGACCGCUCCGGUGCCAUCCAUUUAGAAGCAUUUAUUGUCAUCAUCUCCUUCAGCACCACUCUCACUCUCUUCCUCAUUAUCAUAUGAUCAAAUUCUUCGCUUUCUCCACCACAUCAUCUUCCUCAUUGUCUCCUUCGUCACUCCCUACAUCAUCAUCUUCUUCCAUGCUAUGAUCAUCUUCGCCAUAUUCUACCCAUCAGAUAAAUCAUCAUCUUCACUCUCCCUUUCCACCUAUAAUAGCAUCCUCGAACCAAAUAAAUUCACUUACACACAUCCAUCUAAAUAACUUAAACUAGACAAAAGCAACAACAAAAUAUAUAUCUCAUGGUCGCUUAUCUGUUCUGAAUCACUUUCAUAAAGUCUUGCUCUUUUGGAACUCUUUGAUCUUCCCGCCACUGUAAACACUCAGAAUGGUAGAAAAUGUAAAAGUGAAAAGGUAGAGAUCGUGGGUGUAUCAGAAGAACGGUUUAGAGACAAAUGUUAGUGGUGAUUUAAUUUUGUUUUUUCAAUUAAUUUUAAAAUACAAAUCAUGUGUCAAAAUUUGAUUGGCAUGCGACUUGCGCUUAAAUAUACAAUGGAUUAACAAAAAGUUGGAAGUUCACGUUUCAUUGGCCUCCACUUGUUCUGGAAUUUAUCCGAGCCUAUGCCUAGCCUCCCUGUUUGUUUAUAGAUUUAAUCCAUUGCUGACAAUAAAAUUAAAAAAUAUUAAACCUAAUUAAAUACUAUAUGUCGAAUUUCAUGUCGACAAAACACAUUAUCGACCGUAAGCUUAAACAGUCACAGACCCCUUAAUACUAUACAGAGAAUUUCAUGUAUGUCAAGAAAAAAUAGAAUUUCAUUUCAAUUAUUUCCUGAUUAUAAUUUUCAGUAUCAUAGUUUCUAGGCCUGGGCAUCCAGGUCUUCGGAUCGGGUUCGGAUCGGGUAUUGUCGGGUCCGGAUCUUUCGGGUCCUAGCAAUUUAGACCCUUAUAGGUACCUAUAACUUUUCGGAUCGGUUCCGGGUCGGGUCUUGUCGGGUCUGGGUCGGUUCGGGUCUAUAAUUUCAAUACCCGUUAAAUACCCAAAAUUUUCGGGUAUAUUUCGGAUCCGGGUCGGUUCGGGUAUUUAGGACCCGAAAUAGACCCGAAGUACCCGAACUGGAUCCGAAAACUCUAAAAAUACCUGAAGAACCGCAAAAAUACCCAAAAAUUUAUCCAAAAUCAGACCUGAAAACUCAAAACAUACCCGAAUACCCAAAUGAUAUUUUCUAAAAAUCUAAAAUUUCACCAAAAACCUACAAUUAUACCCGAAAAUCCAAACCCGAAACUUAAAAAAAAAAUCUGAAAUGCCAAAAAUAUACCCAAUCACCCAAAUAUAACUAGUAUAUACAAUUAUUUGCGGGUACUUCGGAUACCCGAACGGGUCUCGGGUAGGACCCGGACCCGAACCGAGACCCACGAGUCCAAAAAAAAAGACCCAAUAGAUACUUAGCAUGGACCCGGACCUGGAUCCGAACCUGUAUUUUCGGGUCGGUUCCGGUUCGGGUGUUCGGGUCCGGAUAAAAUGCCCAGGCCUAAUCCAUAUUUUAUCACCAAUGUUUACUAAUGGGCAGUGGCGGUUUGGUUGAAAAGGGUAUUAAUGAACCCACAAAUCUGGGUUCAAAGCCCCUUUAUGACACUUUUAAAAGUUUCUGACACCUCAUAAAUAUUUUUCUGGGUUCACCCCUGCUACUGGCAGUGGCUCUACCCUGACACUAUCGUUUACUACUGGAAUCAGAGCUACUCCCUCACCGUCCCAUUCCUCUUCCAUGAACGGUGUGUAUCUGUUCCCGCAUGGUGGCCCAAUGUUAUUCUUGUGGAAUAUUCUGCACAACACAUAUGCAUCUUGCUGCAUUCAAACAAAGAAUUGAGAUGAGAUAGGAUCCCUUAGACAGUACGUAGACAGUAUCAGAUAAAAGCUUAUUCGAAAGUUAAAAUCUUCCUGAUACAUAAGCAAACUAGUGUGGAAGCACAAGCACAAGGAAUCAGAAAUACAUCACAGCAGAAGACAAAAAAAUGAAGCUGGACAUAAUAGAGCUAAACUAAAAAACUUCAGAUAACUAAACACAGAACAACAUACUUCAUUCCGUGAAAUUUAAGCAAACAAAACUGAAGGACAAGAUAGCAAGAUGGUCUUAAGGGAUCUGAAUAAAAAAAACUAGACUUUGCCCAAAUGUUAAGUCGAUUAGAUGGGAAUUAUAUUUACAGUGUUAAACCUAAACAUAGCAAAAGAUAGGUCCGUAUCGACAUUUUCCCAGCCAAUGAAUCAGAGCCCAUAAAGCUGAAUUCUUUUCUCAGAAUUACACAAGGCGAAAAAUAAAACCGGACAAAGCAACACUAAACUCAAAACUUAAGAUAACCAAACACCGAUCUUCUUGUCCUCAAACACAAGCAAACUAAUGUGGUAGCACAAGUUAGCAAGAGCUCCUUAAGCGACCUCCUCCAACAACAAAACUCGAUCAAUCCCAACCCAAAUCAGCUCCAUCGACGCCGCCACCGCCACUGGCUACGUCGUCCUCAUCCUCUCUCCCAACUCUAUCUAUUUCCCGUCGUCUCCCUCGCCAUCAUGUCUCUCGGCGCCGUCGUCACCACCGCGAACACUCUCAACACAGCCGGUGAGAGGCAGUGAUUCACGUUGAGAGCAACAGAGAGAGAAGAUCAACAGAGAGAAAUCAAUCGGUGCAACCGUCGAGAGAGAGAUGAAGUUAAACGCAAAACUCUCUCGUUGCCACACGUGUCUCGCAAGAGGCGGUUCUUAAAACCCCUAAUUAGGAUCCGUUGCUUAACUUAAUUUCCUUUUUUCUUUUUCUUUAAUUACUAAAUACCUUAAAAACUCCACUUAAGAGCUCCCGUUAAAGAUGGCGUGACACUGUUGCCAAGACACCUCUUCACUCAUCAAAUUUAAUAGUGAUUUUGCCUAAACUAAACAUGUAGAGCUUGACGCGCCACCCUCCUUAUUUAUUUACUCUUCAUGUUCUGUCGUCGUCAACCAGCGAAGCUGGCUCCACAAACCAAACCCGGUUCAAAUAAACCGAUUAUUAUACACUAAAAACUAGACCAGCUUUAUCGCAAACCACAAAGUCACCAAACACCCAGUAAAAGUCCGACAACCCCACCCAUUAUCUAUCACUCACUCAACUUUAUAUCACACAAUAAAAAGUUAUCAAUCACUACGUAACCGUUCGAUUUAUCAAAAGAUGACGUCGUUACCUCCCAGUUGUGUAUCAUCGCACGACUAUAACCAGAAGAUGCAUUAAAUCUCCCCUGCGCCUUCUUCAUAUACGGCGGAAUCAUUCGGGCACAGAAUUACAAAAGACAAAAGACAAAAGUAAAAGUACCAAAAAAAAAAAAGUCACUUUGGUUUGGUUUCUGUACUUUUGUCUUAUCAAAUCUCUCUCUCUAACGAAUCCAAAGAGGUCUUUGCUAGCGUUCUCCGUCUCCGAUCAAGGGCAGUUUCGUCACAUCGACACUUCUUUUAAUAUUAAAUUUUUUUUAAGUCUUUCGCUUGAGUAACAAGCCAGAAAUCUACCUUUUAUUUUUCUUUUACGGAUAUGUUCAUUUUACUUUAUUUUCUCGGCGAGAAUAUGUCAAAAGAAGAUUACAAAUAAAACCCCAACCGUGAAGCCCUGAUUUAGAACCACAUAGCUCUUCUCCAUCUCUGCAUCUGUUCUUCGGUUCAAAGUCUGUGUCUUUUUCUUCCUCCAACAGGUUUUUAGGAGAUUUUCGAUAAUGGGUUCAGAGCAAAACGACAGCUUCUCCCCCUCAGAGCCGAAGCUCUGCGUCAACGGCUGCGGCUUCUUCGGAUCACCAUCGAACAUGAACCUCUGCUCCAAGUGCUACCGCGACAUCCGAGCCACCGAGGAGCAAGCCGCCUCCGCCAAAGCCGCCGUCGACAAAUCUCUAAACCCUAACAAACACCACACCAAACCACCGCAACAGAGCCUGGAGACCGCUCCGGAGCCAUCCUCAUCGGCGAGCGGCGGAGAUUCCUCCGUAGCUUCCUCAGAUCCGCCGAGGGGGACGAGGUGCUUGAGCUGUAACAAGAAGGUGGGGGUUACGGGG
rnacentral:lncRNA from 1 species